rnacentral:rRNA from 1 species
GGUGACUCAUAGUAACUGAUCGAAUCGCAAGGCCUGUGGCCGCGAUAAGUCAUUCAAGUUUCUGCCCCAUCAGCUUUCGAUGGUAGUGUAUUGGACUACCAUGGCGUUUACGGGUAACGGAGGAUUAGGGUUCGAUUCCGGAGAGGGAGCCUGAGAAACGGCUACCACAUCUAAGGAUGGCAGCAGGCGCGUAAAUUACCCAAUCCUGAUUCAGGGAGGUAGUGACAAGAAAUAACGGGCCGGGA